GGAGCUAACGCGUUAAGUCGACCGCCUGGGGAGUACGGCCGCAAGGUUAAAACUCAAAUGAAUUGACGGGGGCCCGCACAAGCGGUGGAGCAUGUGGUUUAAUUCGAUGCAACGCGAAGAACCUUACCUGGUCUUGACAUCCACAGAACUUUCCAGAGAUGGAUUGGUGCCUUCGGGAACUGUGAGACAGGUGCUGCAUGGCUGUCGUCAGCUCGUGUUGUGAAAUGUUGGGUUAAGUCCCGCAACGAGCGCAACCCUUAUCCUUUGUUGCCAGCGGUCCGGCCGGGAACUCAAAGGAGACUGCCAGUGAUAAACUGGAGGAAGGUGGGGAUGACGUCAAGUCAUCAUGGCCCUUACGACCAGGGCUACACACGUGCUACAAUGGCGCAUACAAAGAGAAGCAAUCUCGCGAGAGCUAGCGGACCUCAUAAAGUGCGUCGUAGUCCGGAUUGGAGUCUGCAACUCGACUCCAUGAAGUCGGAAUCGCUAGUAAUCGUGAAUCAGAAUGUCACGGUGAAUACGUUCCCGGGCCUUGUACACACCGCCCGUCACACCAUGGGAGUGGGUUGCAAAAGAAGUAGGUAGCUUAA
rnacentral:rRNA from 1 species